UAGUCAUAUGCUUGUGUUCAAGAUUAAGCCAUGCAUGCCUAAGUACAGGUAGCAAAACCGAAACUGCGGAUGGCUCAUUAUAACAGUUAUUAUUGAAAUAGUGAAUCAUUGGAAUUAAAGGAGUUAAAUCCUUGACAACCAAUAAAAUAUAAAUGGAUAACCCUGCUAAUCGUAGAGCUAAUACAUGAAGUCAAGACUCGAAUGACAAUGGGAAUUUUAUGAAAUGAAUCCAUAGAGAAUAAAAAGCCAAAACUUCGGCAACCCAAAACCACAUUUAAUGUAAUGAAAAAGAUUAAAUGGGGUUGGAUCAAAGGGAAUUAAAUUAUAAAAUAAACCAUAUACUAUAGAGUCGCAUUUGUCAGCAAAGCGAAAUUAAGGGGGUAAUUUUUAAUUAUUUAGAAAUAAAUAAUUAAAGAUUACUUUUUCAAGAAGACGAAGACAUGCUAAUGUGGGGUAGAAGUUGAAAAACACCUGCAGGACAUGAGGAUAAAAACUGACAGCUGGAUGAGGGGAACCUUGGGGGAAGAGAAUAAGCUGAAAAGUAAAAAGCCVRUURUUAYGAGACUUGAGUCAAAUCAAGGGGUAAUAAUAAAAUGACUAAAGCCUGAGGACCACAGCUGAAAAUUAAACCAGUCUUCAAGUGAGAUAGGACAAAGGAGCAAAUUGCAAUGAAAAAUUAAGUGGAGACAUUUAAUUGGCAAUACACUAGAGAAAUUUCUGACCUAUCAACUAGAUGGUAGGAUAGGGGCCUACCAUGGUAUUUACGGGUAACGAGGAAUUAGGGUUCGAUUUCGGAGAGGUGGCCUGGGAAACGGCGACCACUUCCAAGGAAGGCAGCAGGCGCGUAAAUUACUCGGUGCCAAUACGGCGAGGUAGUAACGACAAAUACCAAUGCCUUACCUUAUUUUCAAUAAGGAGGCAAUUGGAAUGGGCACAAUGUAAAGAGGUGUGCGAGUAACGAUUGGAGGGAAAGUCUGGUGCCAGCAGCCGCGGUAAUUCCAGCUCCAAGAGUGUAUACUAAAGUUGUUGCGGUUAAAAAGCUCGUAGUCUAUAUUAGAGAUUUUAGAGUUCUUAUUGUAAAAUAAGGAUUCUUUUAAUAUUUUAUAAUAUUAAGAUUUUUAUUUAAAAAUAUUAUUUAAAUUUUAAAAGAGUAAAAUCUAAUAUAAUUUAAAUAAUAUUUAAUAUAAAGAUCAAAUCUCUUUUUGAAUUUGGAUUAGUUAUUACAAUUCUUAAAUGAAAUUGUAAUUAUAACUUAAUUAGAUUAAAGAUUACUUUAAUUUAAUUUGAGGAAACUACCAAAUCAAUUACUUUGAGUAAAAUAAAAUGUUCAAAGCAGGUAAAUAAAAGCCUGAAUAUAUUAGCAUAGGAUAAUAAGAAAACAAAAGAGGGGAGGAUUUAUACCAAAUAGAACAACAGACCUCAAGUUUGCUGAUUGGUUUCUUGAGAAUGCUUUUUAAAAUUCUAAUAUUAAUUAAGAAAUUAAUUAAUAAAUUUUAAAAAGAACAGAGAAAAUUCUUUUAAAACAAGAUUAAAAAUGUUGUUUUAGAAUCAAUCUCUCUUAAAUUAAAUACAAGUGAUUAAUAGGAACAGUUGGGGUGGUUUAUAUUUAAUAGCGAGAGGUGAAAUUCUAUGACCUAUUCAAGAUAAACUAAAGCGAAAGCAUUCCACAAGGAUGUUUUCAUUGAUCAAGAACGAAAGUUGGGGGAUCGAAGACGAUCAGAUACCGUCGUAGUCUCAACUAUAAACGAUGCCGACCAGGGAUUGAAGUUAGUUGUAAAGAAAGAUAUUUGAAAUCCGCAAGGAUUUUAAAUAUUUUUUUAAAUUAUUUAAUUGAACUCCUUCAGCACCUCAGAGAGAAAUCAAAGAGUGUUUGGGCUUCGGGGGAAGUAUGGUCGCAAGGCUGAAACUUAAAGGAAUCGACGGAAGGACACACCAGGAGUGGAGCCUGCGGCUCAAUUUGACUCAACACGGGGAAACUUACCAGGUCCAGACAGUAGGAGGAUAGACAGAUUGAGAGCUCUUUCUUGAUUUGCUGGGUGGUGGUGCAUGGCCGUUCUUAGUUGGUGGUGUGAAUUGUCUGGUCAAUUCCGAUAACGAACGAGACCUUAACAUGAUAAAUAAGUUUAAUUAAGGGGUGAAAUAGGGGUAACUCUAUUUUAAAACUUAAUAAUAAAAAUUAUUAUAAUGAAUAAUUAUAAUAAUAUAAACUUCUUAAAGGGACUAUUUGUGUUUAAAACCAGCGAAUGGAAGUUUGAGGCAAUAACAGGUCUGUGAUGCCCUUUGAUGUCCUGGGCUGCACGCGCGCUACGAUGAUUGAAACAAAGAGUAACAAUUAAAUUCAUUAAUUAUUAAGUAAAAUUAAUAAAUAAUAAAUUUAAUAUCCUGGGUUGAAAAAUUCCGGGGAAACAUUAGAAAGUCAAUCAUGAUGGGGAUAGAUCAUUGCAAUUAUUGGUCUUGAACGAGGAAUUCCUCGUAAGUACGAGUCAACAGCUCGUGCUGAAUACGUCCCUGCCCUUUGUACACACCGCCCGUCGCUCCUACCGAUUGGAUGAUCCGGUGAAAAUUCUGGAAGUAAGGAAAUAGAAUAGUAAAAUAUUUUGUUUUCUGCUGAAAUUAUUUAAACCUUAUUAUCUAGAGGAAGGAGAAGUCGUAACAAGGUAUCC
rnacentral:rRNA from 1 species